CUGUUAAGUUUCAAGUAUAGCCAAAGGCACACUAGGAUUUUUUUUAUAGGCUAAUGUAGUGCUUAAGUUUUGUCAGAUUUUGUAUCUGUGUUAUCUCCCUUUGGAUGUAUCUAUGAGAGUUGUAAAUAUGCCCAGAAAUACUAAUAGAAUACAGAUAUGAGGCAAAUGCUUCUGUUAGGCCAAAUAAAAAUAUAUGUGUGGUUCCAGUAACCCUACUGUCCCUACUUUUUCGGCUUAAAAAUAGCCUACCCUAAAGAUUUUAUUGUCAUUUUUCUUUAAGCACUGUUAAAGUCAGAAUGUUGCUCCCAUAGACUGAAUGUAAAAAAAAACAUAAAAUAAAAAAAAAAAUCCCUACCUACCUACCCUAACUUUUUUUCAGAUGUAACUGGAACCACACAUACUUUUUUAUUUGCCC
rnacentral:lncRNA from 1 species